CCCUUGUAUAUUCAUUCAUACUGUUGAACUGAUUGGUGCCAGAUCCACCCCUUUGAAUUUAGGUUUGACUCACUGCCCACACCUUUGGAACUGAUAGACACACAGGAACUAUAAGUGUGGAAGUAAUUCUUUUCAAAGGACAGUGUCCCCACUGAUUUUUUUAUGCUACUCGUUAUGGCUAGUACCUUCCCUAUCAGUGCAUCCACAUCUGGGCAGGCUGCAUACUUUUCUUCUCCCAUCUCAGGUGAGAGGAGGAAAUAUAGUAGCUUUAGAUAACUCAUCUCAAUACAUUAAGGAGAAUAUGGGAGUUCCCAUUGUGGCUCUGCAGAAAUGAACCCAACUAUUAUCCACGAGGAUGCCGGUUUGAUCCCUGACCUUGCUCAGUGGAUUAAGGAUCUGGCAUUGCUGUGAGCUGUGGUGUAGGCUGCAGAUGCAGCUUGGAUCUGGCACCAGUCAGUCCAGAUCUGUGUCUGUGGCCUAGGCUGGCACCUGCAGCUCUGAUUUGACCCCUAGCCUGGGAACUUCCAUAUGCCAUGGGUGUGGCCCUAAAAAGCAAACAAAAACCAAAAACAAAAAUAAGGAGAAUAUGCCAUCAAAUAACAGAAAUCAGAUAGGGAAUUUAAAGUUCAAACCUCCUCCUACCACUUCUUGCCAAGCUGGGGCGCGCUUUGCCAUGGCUGCUGGCAGCUUUGCUCCUAGCAUUGUUUCUCUUGGUUUGUCAGGCUGUAGGGGAGGGAGGAGCAAUAAGGGAGAUGUAAAAGUUGUUGCUUGGCUACUGUUUUAGCCUGACUGUUCUCUCCAGCCUGACAGAUGGAUUAGAGCGGAUUCUCUUCUUGGGAGCACUUUUGGGGAGUCCUUGGGGACCCUGGCACAUCCAGAGUGUCUUGUCUGUAGCACCUUAAUGCAGAUCAAAGUUUCUCUAUUUCAGUGGGUCACUUCCUUCCUCUGCAGCUCCCAGAAAUUCCCUUAUCCAUCUUGAGCCUUUGCCUACUGAGGACUUAUCAUAGGCAGUUCUUGUAUAUAACUCACUUGCUGCCUGAGCCUCAUCUGGUCAAUGGAAAGCACAAACACGUUUUUGUCUCAGGCAGGCUCUGGGAAAGCAAACUUAUCCUAACUCAGCAGCAUGCUGCUUCUAAACCUGCUCGCCAGCCCAUCUCAACAUCUAAAUUGCCCAGGUCUGAGCUGUGCAGUAGGCUACUGCAUCUCCACAAACAGAGAAGACAUGUCCACGUCUGAGCAGUCCCUGGGAACUCCCUCUUAUCAGCUGGAGAUAAGGAGCAGGCUUCUGCCACUUUCCCAUCUGUUCCUCCAGAGGUGGGCCUCUGGUACAAGGGGUAGCAAUUUGCCAAGAUACCUUGCACACUGAAAUACUCUCCACUGCUGCUCUUCAGCCUGUUUUUAACCUUCAAAUUGGCUGAGAUAGUUGAGAGAAUCAUGGAAUGAUCAACUCAAUCUUUUGAAACUUCAUACAGCAUAGCAUCCAUUAAAAAUGCAGCAUUUAUUACAUUUUGAUAUUUCAGUGACAAUUUCCAAUAUAACAUGACUUUCAAUCACUUUCCAUUUGUUUUUUGAGGCCAUCUUCACCUUGGUGGCCCUCCUGCUGUAUUCAGGGCUCUGUUGCUCCAUGACCUCCAGUUGAGCCAGUUUCAAAUUCAGCCAUGAAGGCUUCUGGUAUCCACAUCUUUGCCAGAGCCCUGGGACCCUUGUUUGGCUGGAGGGAAGAUGGACAAUGAUGGGAUUAGAGUGACCUAUCUUGGCACUAGCAGCACAUUAGAUCAUUCUUUUCUGUGGGUCCUGUCCUGUGCAUAGUAGGGUUCUUAGAAACAUCACUGAUCCUACCCACUAGAUACCAAUAGAACCCCUUCCUCAAUUGUGACAAGCAAAAUAUCUCCAGGCAUUGGCAAAUGUACCCUGGAGCUGAGGGUAGAGGACAAAAUUCCUUAUAGUCGAAAGCCAGUGAAGUAGAGAGAGAGGAGCAAAUUUAAGUUGUGUUGUUUGUUGGGAAAAGUAGUGAAUUGGGUUUUGUAUAUUAUGAGAAGAGCUAUUUAACAGUUGUUAGAACAGUUAUCAAACAUCGGAAGUUACUGAACAUUCUAGUAGAAAUUGAGGCCUUGCCUUCACAAGCUAAGUUGAGGUUGGACUUGUGAUUUGAGAGUCAUCUGUAGAGAGCUGAUACCUGCACACGUGAGUGUGGACAUGCUUGCCUGUGGGAUGAGGAGAGAGAAGGGCUGAGGCAUAGCCAUUGAAAGAGGUCUGUGUAAGGCGUGGACUGUUGUCAUUAGAGAUGGGAGAAGGACUAGAAGUGUGUGGAGGAUCAGUCAUAAAAGGAGAGAGUGUUUAAAAGGAGUGUUCAGGACUGCUGCUCUGUUCUGAGCACCUCCAAGUUGGGCUCCAAGUUUAGGUAUUAAUAUCGCAUAGAUAUGAUAUCGCAUAUUAAUAAUUAUGAUUAUAAUUAUUCUGGGCUGCUCUGUAGUCCUGUGGAAUCUGUGGAAGGCCCAGGUGGGGUCUGAUAUAAUGAAAACCUAAAUAAUUUUAAGAUAAUUCAUCAUCCUACACAACAGCAACAUGAAAACUCUCUGACAUCAAGAAAUUCUUUUUUUUUUUUUUUUUUUAAAUGAUAAAGCUCACAGAUAUCCGUGAUGGCACCAUAUGUUUGUUCAGAACAGAAUCUAUGAAGUCUGUCUGUGAAAUGUCACCAACACAUGUAUCAUUCCCUCAGAUGGAGUUAUUGACAGAAAUUAAUUUGUCUGUUUAAAGGUAAGAAUCAGAAGACUUUAACUAUCUUAGAUUUUGUAAGAUAACAGACAACCCAAAGUAGAACAAUAUACCAAGGAUGGCCAAUAAGCUAAACAGAAAGCACAUAUGUGGCAAGAAUAGAGUAGAAUAGGAGUUCUUGCUGUGGUGUAGCAAGUUAAGGAUCCAGAGUUGCUACAGCUGUGACAUUAUAUAUAUAUGUAUAUGCAUCAUAUAUAUACACACACAUGCCAAUUCUUUCUCCAUUUAUCUGUCACUAGGCACUUAGGUUGUUUCCAUAUCUUGGCUGUUGUAAAUAAUGCUGCAGUGAACAUAGGGUGUAUAUGUCUUUUCUAAUUAGUGUUUUUGUCCUCUUUGGAUAAAUACCCAGAAGUGGAAUUGCUGGAUUAUAUGGUAGUUCUUUCUAUUUUUAAUUUUUUGAGAUACCAACAUACUGGUGGCUGCACCAGUUUACAUUCCCAGCAACAGAGGAAGAGCAUUCCCUUUUCUCCGUAUUGUAUCCAACACCUGUCAUUUCUGACCUUUUUGAUACUAGCCCUUCUAAAGUGUGUGAGGUGAUGUCUCAUUGUGGUUUUGAGUUGCAUUUCUGUGCUGAUUACUGAUACUGAAAUUUUUUUCAUGUGCCUAUAACACACCAAAAGACAGUGAGAUUUUAGAUUUUUGCAAUUUACCUUAAUAUACCCAGCUAAUAAAAAUUGCUGAAUUCUCACAUUACCUUCUGCACCAGUUUCUUAUGCUAUCUCAUAUUAUGUAGCCUUGGGAAACUCUGUUGUACAUUUGGGAGAGAAUGAGAAUGAAAAAUACAAAUAAUAUUUUCAAAAAAUAGUAUUGUUUUGCAAAUAGUUUCGACCUUUUGGAUGCCCAUACAGAAUUACUGGGGUCUCAAGACCACACUUUUGAGAACUGAUAUUUUAGAUGAAAACUCUAAAGUUUAGAAGGGCUAUUGCUAAUUUCAGUAGAGGCAAUAGGUUUUUUUAAACAGGGUUCUGAGAAAUAGAACUGAUAAGAAAAAAUAUUGUCCCACAUAUUGGGUCAUUAAUAAGUUUAUGGGAUGACAGGAUCCAAUUACAACUCAUAUUUAUUGCCAAUGUUUGAUAAUUUUCAGGUAGCUUCUAAAAUUGGUUGUUUUAAUUGUCUAACAGUUAAUAUGGGGGGGACUAGGUUCUUUCAUUUCUCUUCCAAUAACGUUCAGUCUUGGAUUUGAAAAAGGAGCUUUCCUAGAAUGAAUAUUUGGAAUGUAGAGUUUUAUAUUUAUUAAAUAAUAAACAUAAGUAGAUUAAAUGUAGUUAUUAACAUUUUUGUUUGCAAUAUUAACUUUGGCCAAGUAAACGAUACACAGAGCAGAAAACAUUUGGUGAGAAGAAAGCAGAUGCUGAAUAUUUUCUCAAGAAAAUUAUUAAUCAUAAAGUAUGGAGCUAAAAUCUUACAGCAAGCCCUGGCAACUCAGUCAAACUCAUGUGUGGUAACAUUUUCUGAAUAAAUGUAUAAGCCUAUAAGGUAUCUAUCUAUCUAUCAUCUGUCUGUCUGUGUCUGUCUAUCUAUGUAUCUAUCUAUCAUUCAACUACUUCACUCUAUAAAUUCCUCAUUUUCCUGCAGGAAUGAUAUUAGAGAGACUAAUAUUUGAUUAACACCCUAGGCUAUGAAACCAUUCCCAGGGUUCCAAUUUUAAAUGUAAACCAUCUCUGAGCCUUUUUGUCUCCCUUCCUUUCUAUGUAGACAGAUCUGGUAUAAGGAAAGUUUUAUAUUGAGUAAUCUCUCAAGCUGAAAGAAGAAAGUGGGAUCCCUUGUCUCUUACUGAGGAUGGGGCAUAAAUUAGGCAUAAAUCUCAAAGGACAGCAUAAAUACAGCGAUAUCAAAUGCUAAGUCAGAGCUACCUGGUGGGAGAAGAAACAGCUGUUGAAGCUGCCAUACUUGAAAUCUGGCCCCACGUUUACUAGCUGUGUAACUUUGGGUGAGUUACUCAGACUCCAUGAGUCCUGGAGCUUUUAAUUCUCUAAGGAAGAGGUGGAAUUAGUGUGAAUAUUAAAUAAAAUAAUUCAUAUAAAAAGUCUAGAAUAGUAGAGGUUCAACCAUAAUCCCCAUUAUGAGAGAGAUGAGAAGACAACGCAUUCCUAAGAUUUUUGUUAAGGAUAUAGCAACAACUCAGUCUCAGAUUUUUCGUUCAAGUAGUUUAUAAUUCAUUAGAUGUGGAUAGGCAAAAUUAAAAAAUACAUAAAAAUACAAGAAACUGCAUAACAAGAAUGAGGCGUUUUACCUGAGAGUUUACAGAAAAAGAAGGCUUCGUCAAAAUGGUAAUGCUUAAACUGAGUGUUGAAAGAUGAGACAGAUACAAUAUUUAUUAAAUGGGCUCAAGAAAUAGGGAAGGGAGGAGGUGAUUGUGACAAUCCAGAUAGAAGGAGCAAAUUCUGUGGUUUAGUUUUACUGGAUCGUGAAGUAUGAAAGGCUGACUUAGUGAAAGGUACAGAUGACAAGUUAAGCGGGGCUAAGGUCAUAUAGGGUCUUACAUUUUGUGUUGAGAAGUAUGAACUUCAUCGUAUAGGCACAAGGAAGUCAUUGAAGGACUUCAGUUAGAGAAGUGACACCAUCCUAUUUCACUGGAAAAUGUUAUGUUAGUGGCAAUCGGAGAUGUAUAUUAGAGAGGACAAGGAGACUAGUUUGAAGUUUAAUGCAGCCAUCCAGGGGAGAUAAAAUGGUAUUUAAGAGAAACAGUCAAAUGGUAGCAUUAGCAGAUUUUGGUCACUGUUUAAAAUAUGGUGCUAAAGAAAAGGAGUUUAUGUGUUUAAGCUCAACACUAUUGAAUAAGAGAAAUAGGAGUUUUGAGAAGAAAGAAGUAAUUAAUUGUGUCAAAUGUUAAGAAGAUGAAGGUAAAAUGAGAACCUGAGAACCAAAAAGAAUUAAUUAGCAUUUUUAACUAGGUUAUACACAUAUACAUAUACAUAUGUUGUAUAUGAUAAAAGUCUGGGAGGUUUAGUGGCAACUAUAAUAACCGCAGCUUUGGGACAGUAAGAGUAUGGGAAUAUUUUUACUUCCCACACCUCUAACGAAUUAUAAUUAUUACUUGAACAAAAAAUAAACAUGAUGAAUAAAAAAAGAAAACAAACCAUCAUGUAUUAUUUGUUUUUCCUUUAUUUGUGUUAAAAGCACUGGACCUAUGAGUGAUUGACUGACUCGUAUGAUAAAACUAGUGUUGUCCAGAUUGGGUCAAUUUAGACCCCAAAUUAUCUCAAAUAAAUAGAAACUGACUUAUGUUCUUGUUGCAUGACAUUUUAUCAGCAGUUAUAUGAGGGUCACAUCAAAACUUAAUUUUUGGGAGUUCCUGUUGUGGUGCAGUAAAAAAUGAAUCAGACUAGGAACCAUGAAGUUGAAGCUUCGAUCCCUGGUCUCACUCAGUGGGGCUCAGUGGGUUAAGGAUCUGGUGUUGCCGUGAGCUGUGGUGUAGGUUGCAGACAUGGCUCAGAUCUGUGGUUUGUGCCAUAGGCUGAUAGCUGUAGCUUCUAUUGGAUCUCUAGACUGGGAACCUCCAUAUGCCGCAAGUGUGGCCCUGAAAAGGG
rnacentral:lncRNA from 1 species